GUGCUUGUUUCAACAGCACAUACACUAAAAUUGGAACGAUACAGACAUUAGCAUGGCCCCUGAGCAAGGAGGACAUGCAAAUUCAUGAACGAAAAAAAAAAUCA